UUCUAAGCCUUGGUUUGCUGCUGUCCCCUCCCCCAAAGCCCUUUCAGAUCUAUGGCUGCAGGCAGGAUGGGCCCCGAUCGCCGCUCUGCCAAGCUGGGACCUAGGGGGCCUGGGGCCCGAGCCCGAGUGCUGCUGGGCACACAGGCAGGCUGCGUGCAGGCUGAUGAGCUUCCGCAAGUCACCUGCUCCCCAGGCCUGGGUGCUGGCCCUGCAGGCGUGUCCCGUCCAACUGGAAAAACCAGACGUGGUGGCCGCAGACUGGUGACCGGUGACCGGUGACCGCAGGCAGGUGACAAGUACAGGAUAAGGGCUUCCAGGUGCAGGCAGAGAGGAAGGAAGCCGGAUCAGCCAGCGAGGGCCCUCGAGCCCUGAGGUCCCAGAGGGUCGGGCCAGCUGGGCGGGGCGGGGCACGGUCCACACAGCUCGGGGGCAGGCGGAGGCUCAGGGCUCGCUGUCCCCCUUCCUGCCAUGCAGUGCGGCUCCUGCUCAGCACAGCGCUGGCCGCCAACCUCUGCCUCAGUGUCCUCCCGGGCCAGAGCAGGCAGGGGGAGGCUGAGGCAGGAGGAUCAUAAGUUAGAGCCCAACAUGGGAAAUCUAGCAAUUUAGAGAGACCAUGUCUCACCAAAAUAAAAAUGAAAAAGAGCAGAGGACGUAGCUCAGUGCAAAGGCCCUGGGUUCAAUCCCUAGGGUUGCAGGAAAAAAAGAUUGUGAUUAUUUAAUACAGUUAGUUUCACAGCUUAUUUCUUUUUAGAUGUCAGCCAUUCCCAUUGUCUCCUCUCUCCUUCCCCAUCGCUGCUCUUCCGUCCCAACUUCUCCUCACAGGGGCGCUGAUCUGGAGGGAACGACCCAGCCUGGGGUCCUCCCUGCUGCCGGGGCUGCCUCCUGUCCUGCUUCGGGAGCUCAGGAGCAGGGCCCUCACAGUGGACAUGCCGCCUCCGCCCGCCCUGGGGAAUCCGCUCAGCCGCGCUCACCGUUACCUCCGCUGUCAGAAGCCAGCACGGUGAUCAGGCCCUGGGCAUAGGUUGAAGUCAAAGGACAGUGAGAUACACAGCUGCUCCACGUCGCCCGCGCAGAGUGAGGCGUGGCUCUCAGGCUGGGCUCCUUCCACGUGAGUGUCAGCACGUUCUCACGGGUCACCCUGGCCGUAGGACCUGCUGGAAAACUGUCGGUCCGUAUGCACGUCUCAGGGCCACAGAUGGGCGAGGCCCCUCCUGUACAGUGUGCAACCUAGCCCAGCACACAGGGCAACCCCAGGUAUGGAAGUCUGUGUCUGGCCGGCCUAGCCCUAGCCCUGGACUGAUUUGAUCCUGGUGUGCACUCUCCACUCCUUGGAAAAGAGCCUUGCGUUUGGUGAGCUCCUUGGAGUUUUUGGUGAAUCUCAUCCUCCACAGUGGGGAUACAGCUGCUGUGCGGACCGGAGGGACAAGGAAGUAACUCUCCGAGGGGUGGUCAGUUAGCACAGGGUGAACCCGAGCUCUGAGCCAGACCCCCACUCUUGGGGCUGAGCGGUCCUCGCCCUGUGCCCCCGGGUCCCUGUGUGGUGGUCAUGGCGACCGUGGUGACCCAACCGGUCUUCCCACCCCACGGCCGCUGAUGCUGUCCAGGGGUCCUGGCGUCCACGACGGCUCGGUGCUCCUUGGCGCAGUGCCCCGGCUGUGUCCCUCCAUGGUGUGGCGGCCCCGACCCCUUUCUGUAACUCACAGGGCGCAGGGCCUUCCGGUUCCUGACUUGUUUUUUUGAGGAUCCCAGAGAUUCAAACACUAAUUUUCACUUGGUUGUUCUUGUUUUUUAUUUCACAGGAUUGUAGCUGGUUUCUCUUCUAAUUUUCUUCGCUUUCUUUCCAUAGCACUGGGACUGAGCCCAGAGACUGCACACGGAGCUCCAUCUCCAGCUCUUUUUAAAAUGUCUUAUUUCGGAGACAAGGUCUUGCUAAGUCACUAAGUUGCCCAGGCUGGGCUGAAACUUACCAUCCUCCUGCCUCAGCCUCCCAGAGUGUGCGGAUGAUUUCUGAAGGACACAGAGUUUUACAGCGGGCGUGCGGAGCCUUGGAGACGAGCCCCAGGGCUCGCCCCAACCGCAAGAACAACAAGCACGG